CAGCCGCCGCGGUAAUACGUAGGUGGCAAGCGUUAUCCGGAAUUAUUGGGCGUAAAGGGUGCGUAGGCGGCCUGUUAAGUUUAUGGUGAAAGCGUAGGGCUCAACCCUAUUAAGCCAUAGAUACUGGCAGGCUAGAGUGCAGAAGAGGGUAGUGGAAUUCCAUGUGUAGCGGUAAAAUGCAUAGAUAUAUGGAGGAACACCAGUGGCGAAGGCGGCUACCUGGUCUGUAACUGACGCUCAUGCACGAAAGCGUGGGGAGCAAAUAGGAUUAGAUACCCUAGUAGUCCACGCCGUAAACGAUGAAUACUAAGUGUUGGGGAAACUCAGUGCUGCAGUUAACGCAAUAAGUAUUCCGCCUGUGGAGUAUGCACGCAAGUGUGAAACAUAAAGGAAUUGACGGGGGCCCGCACAAGCGGUGGAGUAUGUGGUUUAAUUCGAAGCAACGCGAAGAACCUUACCAGGCCUUGACAUCCCUUGCAAAACUGCAGAGAUGCAGUAGAGGUUAUCAAGGUGACAGGUGGUGCAUGGCC
rnacentral:rRNA from 1 species